UGGGGAAUAUUGCACAAUGGGCGCAAGCCUGAUGCAGCGACGCCGCGUGAGGGAUGGAGGCCUUCGGGUUGUAAACCUCUUUUGUUAGGGAGCAAGGCAUUUUGUGUUGAGUGUACCUUUCGAAUAAGCACCGGCUAACUACGUGCCAGCAGCCGCGGUAAUACGUAGGGUGCAAGCGUUAUCCGGAAUUAUUGGGCGUAAAGGGCUCGUAGGCGGUUCGUCGCGUCCGGUGUGAAAGUCCAUCGCUUAACGGUGGAUCCGCGCCGGGUACGGGCGGGCUUGAGUGCGGUAGGGGAGACUGGAAUUCCCGGUGUAACGGUGGAAUGUGUAGAUAUCGGGAAGAACACCAAUGGCGAAGGCAGGUCUCUGGGCCGUUACUGACGCUGAGGAGCGAAAGCGUGGGGAGCGAACA
rnacentral:rRNA from 1 species